rnacentral:lncRNA from 1 species
UUUCUGAUAUUAAAUACAAGGUUGACAUAUGUAAGCAGUUUUUUUUUUCUUUUGAGAUGGAGUCUCACUCUGUCACCUAGGCUGGCACAAUCUCAGCUCACUGCAACCUCCGCCUCCCGGGUUCAAGCGAUUCUCCUGACUCUGCCUCCCAAGUAGCUGGAACUACAGGUGUGCACCACUAUGCCCAGGUGAAGAUACUGAGGUUCGGAAGAAUGAGUCCGUUGGGCUAAGGUUAUACAUCUUUUGAAUGACUCUGGUGAAAUACUAAUCCAGGCCUGUGCUGGUUCAAAGUCGAUGGCCUUUCCACU